rnacentral:rRNA from 1 species
AUGAACGCUGGCGGCGUGCUUAACACAUGCAAGUCGCACGAGAAGUGAAGACGGAAACCUUCGGGCGGAAGGCUUUAUUUCGAGUGGCGGACGGGUGAGUAACGCGUGGGUAACCUGCCUCAUACAGGGGGAUAACAGUUGGAAACGACUGUUAAUACCGCAUAAGACCACAGCACCGCAUGGUGCGGGGGUAAAAACUCCGGUGGUAUGAGAUGGACCCGCGUUCGAUUAGCCAGUUGGCGGGGUAACGGCCCACCAAAGCGACGAUCGAUAGCCGAUCUGAGAGGAUGACCGGCCACAUUGGGACUGAGACACGGCCCAAACUCCUACGGGAGGCAGCAGUGGGGAAUAUUGCACAAUGGGGGAAACCCUGAUGCAGCGACGCCGCGUGAGUGAAGAAGUAUUUCGGUAUGUAAAGCUCUGUCAGCAGGGAAGAAAAUGACGGUACCUGAGUAAGAAACCCCGGCUAACUACGUG